GAGAGAGAGAGGCAGAGACAUAGGCAGAAGGAGAAGCAGGCUCCAUGCACCGGGAGCCCGACGUGGGAUUCGAUCCCGGGUCUCCAGGAUCACGCCCUGGGCCAAAGGCAGGUGCUAAACCGCUGCGCCACCCAGGGAUCCCUAAAUUUUUUUUAAAAUCAACAUUAUUGCAGUAUAACUUACAAAUGAUAAAACGCACCCAUUUCAAGUACAAUUAGGUGAGUUUUGACAACUUUCUACAUUUCUUUCACCCCCAAAUAAGUUUCAUGUUCCCCUUUGUAAUCAAUCAAUCCGAAGUACCACCCAUCCGGCAAACCUGACCCACUUUCUGUCACUGUUUGAUUUAAAGGAGCAUUUUUUAAAAGUCUACAACUUCAAGUUUAACAGCACUGAUGCUAAUUUUGAUAUUAUAGGAUUUGGGGAAGUAAUGUUUUAGUAAGCAUUAUUUAAAAUAUUUAAAUUAUUUAUUUAGAGUUUUACUUUUAUUAUUUUAAAGAUGUAUACUAUAUAUCCUGAGUCAUAGUUUAUCAAAUUGGGACUCUUCAUCUCUAAUCAAAUUAAAAUGGAAUUUUCAUAUUUCAACUUUAAAAAUUCAAAACAAAAAUUUCUAGUACCAAUUUCGGGCAGCAAAGAGUCCUCCAAACACUAUCCCAAGUAGUAACAUUACACAGCACAUGAAAAUUACACAACAAACCCAUCACAGAGGUUCCCAGACAGCAAGCACAGUUCAAGAAUUGAGCACUCGGUAAUGGCUCACUAGAGGAAGUGGAGAGGAGCCUGGGGGAAGCAGACAGAAACCACGAUGGACCAAAUAAAAGCUGAAAGUCAUUAUUAUCCCCAAAUCUAAGAUUUCGGGGAAUAACAUACCUAAAACUAGAACUUUUGUCACAAUGGCUAUAACAAAAUUUUGUCCUACUACAACAAUCCCUUCCUGCUAAGGACCAUCCCUGACACCAGGGCCAAGGUGCGGGAAGCAGCUGUGGGCUGCGCUAGUGUUCUACCCCUGGCCGUUCCACACUGUGCUUUGUUUAUUAGAUGCAAGUUUUAUGCUCUGUGACUCCAGUGUCAACCGAGCUUAUGAAAAUCAAGAUUUAUUCUCAAUGCCUGAGAUUGCAUCCUUGACAAUAGAUAAAUAAGAAACAAUAUGUUCUUAAUUUGUCUGACAGUGAUGCAUGAAGCAGAAAUACAACUUGAUCUUCAUAAGCCAUGCCUGCUGUUGAGUUACAGACUAUUAUUCUUUGUCUCAGCUCCCUUCUUCCUAUUUCGCCCAACUCUUUUUCCUCAAUAUAGUAAAUGUUUCAUUAAAAUUAAUAUCCACAGAGAAGCUCAAAAUUAAAAAGGCCUACCAUAUAAUGUUAUUAGAAGACCCAACCAAUAGAGCCCAUCAGCCUAAUAUCUUGUAAUUAUAAAAUAACUGAGCUAGAAGGGAGAGAUCUUUUUUCAUUUGUGUUCCCAAUGGGGAGAUGGCAGGAGGCAGUUCUCAAAGUAGAGGCUGGGGGAGAACAGGAGGGCUAUUUUGAGAAUACGGUUGUGCUGAGCAACAGCACCAUUGGGUUCUCAAUAUGUGCUUUGGUGAGAAGAUAAAGCUUUAACUUAGGCUGCCUAUAUGGAGUUUUCAUGCUUCAAAAUCAACGAAUCGGAGGUACAACACACAAAUGCACACAAAACACCAUAUAUCUCCAGUUACCAGGCCCCGGCAGCUGCCUUCCGGUGUCAGGGCUCCUUCUUUGGUUAUUAUCCAGUAAGGUUGUCCGACGGAGAAGGGAGAAAGCAGUGAGGAUGGAAACAAAUGCUUCCAGUUUUAUUUAAGAUACACCCUGACAGGCCAUGAAGCCACAGGGUAACCAGUAGAACGUGAUCUUCAAGUUCUUGCCAGAACUCUGAGCCUGAAUCAAAACUCAGUGUGGGAGAAGGAAGCUAUAAAUCAUCCAUAUUUUUGGAGUCAACUUAAAUUUAGAAGAUGAAUUGAAAAGAAGUAAGACUUUGCACUUUACCUAAACAAUUGUCCAAAUGGCAGUUCUUUAAAUGUCCGCUUCCACCCUUGGCCUUUGCUGGACUCCAGAAUGAAUCACACUGUUUGCCAACAGGUGGGAUCAAGAUUGGGGGGGGGGGGUGUCACAAGGCAGAAAAGCACCUUCAGCUAGUUCAGUGUAAGAGCUGUGGAGCCCAACUCUGUGCUAGGCACUGUGCUGACAGCUGAAGACCCCAACUGCUGGGGGGGUCUUGAUCGACACCCACUGCUGCUCAUCUCCCAAGGAAGCCACACAAAUUGGCCCUUAGGAUGCUCUGCAGUAGCUGCUGUGACAGCACGGAGGACACAGGGCACGCAGGAGCCCUCUUCUACACAGAGGCCUCCUGAAGGACCUGACCCCUGAGUAAAAACACUUCAGAGGCUCACUGACCUAGCUCUUACAUCAGAAUCAUAAAGUGCUUCUGAGAUAUGGGUGCUUGGGCCUCUUCCACGAACCAAGGCAUUAGUAUUUCUGGGGAUACAACUUGGACAUAUGCAUUUAAAAAAAAUUCAUGUAGGUAGCUUCUGAUGAACAGAGUCAGAACUGGAAAAAAAAUGAGGCUGCCAGAGGGGUAGGUGCUAUAGUCUAAAUGUCUGUGUUCCCUCCCCCCCAAAUUCCUACACUGAAAUCCUAAUCCCUACAGAUGAUGGCAUAAGAGGUGGGUGGGGCCUUUGGGGUAAUUAGGUCUUGAGAGUGAAGCCCUCAUAAAUGGGAUCAUAUAUGAUCUCUGAGGCCUUAUAAAAGAGGCCUUAGAGAGAUCUCUAGCACCUUCCCCCAUGGGAGAGUACAAUGAGAAGUCUGUGACCUGGAAGAGGGCUCUCACCAGAACCCAACCAGACUAUCACUCUGAUCUUGGGACUUCCAGCCUCCAGAACCGUGAGCGAGGAAGCCACAGCAGUGGGACAUGAGCAACCGAAGAGGGCCACCUAGUGUAAAAAGUGAAACUGACAGUGCAUACAUGGAAAAGACUGCCUAGGAGGUGCUCUUGUGACAAGAGACAAGGGCCUAGGUGGGAACCUUUCAGAUGCUGGAAUCUCCAUCAGCUGUACAGAAUAUGAUGAGCCUGCAAAGGAAGCUAUGAAAGAGUGGCUAAAGAGGUGAGAAGAAAACCAGAGUACAGAAUGACAGAAGCUAACGGAAGCUCACAGAAGCCAACGAAGGACAGUGUUUCAAGAAGGAGGGAGGGACAAUUGUGCCAGUACUGAUGAGAGUUAAUAUCUUUUAAAGUAUGUACUCAACUGAUGACAGAUCUUCUUUAUUUUACCAGCAGAUCUGUCGGUCCUAUUGAUUUCUACCAAAGCUUCCUGUGAACAUAGUUAAUAAAACCAUAUCAUAAUUUUGUCAUUUACCCUCUUUCUAAUAGGCUCUUCAAAAAUCCUCUAAUUUUAAGACAACAAGGCUGAUAAAUACAUUUUGAGUAACACUAAAGGUUAUAGAACUGAAGCAAUUUUGGAAAGAACAUAAAACUAGAGUCUUUAGUAUAGUCCUGGUUUUAUCUUUAUCUAGACCAUGAUGGGAAGCAGUAAACUUGUUGAUCUAUAACAUCCCACCUCCAUAAAAUCCCAGAGUUCACAAUUAAUUUUGCAAGAAACUAGGGGCAAAUGUGUGCAUUUAAGUCAUGCAUUUUCAACAGUGGCCUCUAUAUGGCCAAAAAAUGAAUUUCGAUUUCAAGACACCUGACUUGGUUCCUCAGACCAACCAGAUACUCUGACAGCAGUGAAGUCUAUUCCCCAAUGGAAGAUACUGACAAAAAAUUUAUUGAUUCCUUAAAGAUACUAGAUAUCUAGCAAGAUACUAGACACUAGUUCAUUUUUGGUAAAUACUCCUAUGUCCUUAAAAAAUUUAAUAUUAAUCGAGAGGAACUACUUCCUUGUCCAUCCACAAGUAUUUAACUUUAAAUGGUAAUCCAACUAUUGAUUUUAAAUUCAAUUUAAACAAAGAGUAUUGCUGAUUUCCUAUAUAAUAGUAUGGGGCAUAGUGAGAGAACUAUAAUACUCACUGAGUGAGUGACUAAAAGAACUGUAUUUUGUUAGGCUUAGAAAUUUCACUGAAAAAUUACAUCUAAACAUAGUCAAAUCACCAUAUUCUCCUUAAUUCCAAUAUUUGUGUCUCACAUAAACUAUUUCCAGGGUACAUAGUUGCAGAGAUAAGAUCCAAUUCUAUUCAGAGCAAAACAUGCAUAUAAAUCAUAGAGAUACAAAGUAUGAAAGACUUAUUAUUUGCUUCAAGUAUAAUAAAAAAGGAAGGCUACACACUAACAAAAUAUCUUAGAGCACACUACUAUUUUUCUUGGCCCAAGAAAGUAUUUGCUUUCUCAAUGCCCAACUCUAGAGGGUUUUCUCAAAGGUUAUUUCUGCGCCUUGAGAGAUCCUCAACGAUUGGCUUCCAAACAUGCUUUGUUCACCAUUCUAGCUAUAUUAUUGAUCAGUUUCAGAGUACAAACCAUAUGCAACAAAUAAAAAAGCUCAAUGCCAUUUUAUAAAAUGAAACAAAAGUGAGAGAAAUGGGGACCGUUUCACUUUGUUCAUAAAUCAAACUUAGUUUUUCUAAGCCCCUUUCAACUCUGUCCUGGAUCCAGCCAAACUGAUUCCCUGCUGUCUCUCUAUCUUCUGGUUUUUCAUGUUGUCCCUUUGUUUCAGUAGGCCCAAAGUGUGGCAUGUCUUUGCAUAGAAAUUUCUGCCAUUAACUCCUGGUGGCCAAAUCCCACUCAUCUUUAAAGGAUCAGACAUCACCAUAUCCAAGAAGCCUUCUUGGAAAUACAGAGCUAAAAGAAAUCUUAUCUUUUUCUAAACAACACAAGUACAGCAGUUUAUCUAUGCCUCUUCCUAAUAUUCCACAUGGUUCUCUUCUAUAUUUAGUUACCAUUACUUACUUUUAUUUUUCAG